rnacentral:tRNA from 1 species
GCCGAGGUAGCUCAAUGGCAGAGCAAUCGCUUCGUAAGCGAUAGGUUGUGGGUUCGACUCCCAUCCUCGGCU